AAUGACUGAGUUUAGCGAAGCCAGCCCGCCGGGAGGCAAACUCCCCCUGCCGCCCCGAGGCCUCCUCCAGCCUCGGAGACUGGAAAGCGGACUGCAACGCCCCGCCGGCCGUCGUCGGUGACAAGUGUGACAGCACCGUCCCGGUCCUACGGAUGGAGUCCCAUUCUGUUGCCCAGGCUGGAGUGCAGUGGUAUAAUCUUGGCUCAAUGCAACCUCCGCCUCCCAGGUUCCAGUGAUUCUCCUGCCUCAGCCUCCCAAGUAGCUGGGACUACAGGUCUUGACUCUUGGACAGCAUUUCUGGACCUGCCCUGGGCCAGAGGGGAGCCCAUUGCCCUGAAGGGCACGGCGGAGGGAGCACCACCACCACUCGCCAAGGUCUUAAUAGACUCCGCGCUCCAUAAAGUGGACACAGAGCCAGUGACGGCGGAGAGGGCCCGGCGGGCGCCCACCGGCAUUGGCUGCGCUCCGAUUACUUCGUUAAGCAGUGUCAUGCUUCUUCUUCUUCUUCUUCUUCUUUUUUUAAUUUUUCCCUCCUACUGUGAGAACUGUUCACUUGGAGACUCCCUGUCCUAAUUACAAAGAGCCCUUUUAACCACAGGUCACAGGACUUGGCUCUCUUGACAGGAAAUAAGGAAACAAGCUACCUUCCUGGAAAAAAAAAUUCAAACUUCUACUUCUCAGAUUAGUUAAAUGAAGCUUGUCGACGGUUGGGAGUUGAGUCUUAUGACAGUUGGUUAAUCGCAGUUGGUACAUUAACUAUGUUUUAACCAGAACUGUUUGGGAUCUAAGUAGAUUCAAAAAAUAAGGCAAGCCUAGGCACGUCCCACGAAAAACACCUAAAAUAACCACAAAGUUGAUAUUGGUUUUACUUGCUAUAGGUAUUACAAUACAAAAUAGAUUCCUGUACCUUUAACACUGUAGUUAAGUAAAUUUACAAACAUUAACAUUUUUUAAAUGACACUAAAGCUGCUUUAAAUCCUAGGAAGGCCUCCCUCUCUCUCUCUCUCUCUCUGCUCUUUCUUUUUUGAUUCUACCUUCAAAAUGUCCUCUGUCUAUAUUUUUUAUAUUAAAUAUUCUCUGCAAAGUCUAUCUAGUAAAUAUCUGGUUCCAAGUCUGUGUACACCAUUCUCAAAUAUAAAACUUUUCAAAUGAAGAUAAACCUUUAGUUGAAUUGGUUUAUUUUCUGAUUUGAUUCUUUAAUGUUAUUAUAGAAGAUGGAAUAUCAUUUGCAGUAACAUUAAAAAAACUCUGGUGGUUUUCUUAUUGAAAGACUAUUAUAAUAACAAGCAGAAAUAAAGCAACCAAGAUUUAG
rnacentral:lncRNA from 1 species